rnacentral:rRNA from 1 species
UACGUAGGAUGCAAGCGUUGUCCGGAUUUACUGGGCGUAAAGCGCGCGCAGGCGGCACAUUAAGUAAGGGGUGAAAUCCCCCGGCUCAACCGGGGAAUGGCUGGAUAUACUGGCGGUCUUGAGCAGUCUAGGGGCAGAUGGAACAGACGGUGGAGCGGUGAAAUGCGUAGAUAUCGUCUGGAACGCCAAAGGUGAAGACAGUCUGCUGGGGACUUGCUGACGCUGAGACACGAAAGCCAGGGGAGCGAACGGG